rnacentral:rRNA from 1 species
GACGAACGCUGGCGGCGUGCUUAACACAUGCAAGUCGAACAGUGGCGAACGGGUGAGUAAUGCUUGGGAAUCUGGCUUAUGGAGGGGGAUAACGAAGGGAAACUGUGGCUAAUACCGCGUACAAUAGGAUGAGCCAACGUGGGAUUAGGUAGUGGGUGGGGUAAUGGCAGAUCAAGGCGAAGAUCCAUAGCGGGUCUGAGAGGAUGACCAGCCACACCGGGACUGAGACACGGCCCGGACUCCGACGGGAGGCAGCAGUGGGGAAUAUUGCGCAAUGGGGGCAACCCUGACGCAGCCAUGCCGCGUGAGUGAAGAAGGCCUUCGGGUUGUAAAGCUCUUUCGGUGGCGAGGCGUUAACCACAGAGGAAGCACCGGCUAACUCCGUGCCAGCAGCCGCGGUAAUUC